GGCAAUGUAGAUGCCAUUGGAAUCUUGUCAUCUACACUGGGUCCAAUCCAAUUCCAAAUCUAUUCGAAUGGCAAAUCACAAAGACUUGCAAUAGUUCUCGGAAGUUAGUAACAUAUGCUAUCUGCACAACAGAGCUGUAUCAGCAUUUUUAAAAGGCUUCGUGGUCUUGUUGACAGUUACCUGUAUUAUAUUUCUGCUCUGCUGACGGCAGAAGCAGAAGGAACGUCGAGGAACCAAAUGAGACUGAAGACACAAGGAACCACAGGAGGAUUCAGCCUGAAGACUCUGCAAUGAGACGGCGCCCUGACCCUGAGAUUCAUCUCCAAGAGUUUUUCAAGCUUUACCCGCUUCUUCUUUUUAAUAAACCAAACAUUAUGC